rnacentral:tRNA from 1 species
GGCCUCGUAGCUCAGUUGGCUAGAAUGUUAGCUGUACCAAAGCCUUCCCCUUACUGUCGUGUGUUCGAAUCCCACCGAGGCCA